AUCAAGAUCAAAGAAUGAAAUAAAGAGAAAUCGAAACUCCAGAGAAGUCAAACGCAAGGCAAGAUCGAAGCAUGAAAGAAGAUUACGAGACUGAAGAUAAUAAACAAGCUGCUGCCGAUGUACUAUUUCAAUAUUCAAAAUUUGCAAUGGCAUGCAUAGGAAACCAUGUCCGACCUUGUGAUCUGAGGCUGCAUUUAAUGAAGGAAAUAUCAGGGAUGCCAACUUCUCUGAAGAUAGCUUCAUCCUAAGUUGCUGCUUCUCCCGAUUCAAUGGGUGAGUCAUCAAGCUCAGGUACAACAAGACUUGAUAAGAAAGCUGAUAAAUGAGGUGAAUUGAGAGUGUUUCUUAUGUCACUUGAAGCAGCAUUAUGAUUUGUGAAAUUUCAAGUUCUAACAAUGUAAUUCUUAUCGUACUAGAUCCUUACUGCAACUCAGGAUGUUCAUGUAGUACUCGAAUCUACCAGAUUCAUGUGGGUCAGAUUAGGGUGUUACAUAUCCUUUACCUAUCUUUCCUAUAGGUUUUGGGUUUACUUGAAAAUGGUAAGAAAUUCUCAAUACUAAACUUGGAUCACAAACUGUUUUCUCAAUGGAUCUUUGCUGGUCGCCAUCAGAUUGGCUUGAAAUCAGGAUGAC